AGCCGCCGCGGUAAUACCCGCUCCCCGAGUGGUGGGGACGAUUAUUGGGCUUAAAGCGUCCGUAGCCGGCCUAGUGUGUUCUCCGUUAAAUCCGGCGGCUUAACCGCCGGGCUGCGGGGAAUACUACUAGGCUAGGAGGCGGGAGAGGUCGCCGGUACUCCACAGGUAGGGGUGAAAUCCUCUGAUCUGUGGAGGACCACCAGUGGCGAAGGCGGGCGACCAGAACGCGCUCGACGGUGAGGGACGAAAGCUGGGGGAGCGAAGGGGAUUAGAUACCCCCGUAGUCCCAGCCGUAAACGAUGCGGGCUAGGUGUCGGGACGGCUACGAGCUGUCCCGGUGCCGCAGGGAAACCAUUAAGCCCGCCGCCUGGGGAGUACGGCCGCAAGGCUGAAACUUAAAGGAAUUGGCGGGGGAGCACCACAAGGGGUGGACGUUGCGGCUUAAUUGGAGUCAACGCCGGAAACCUUACCGGGGGCGACGGCAGGAUGAUGGACAGGUUGAAGGCCUUUCCGGACGAGCCGAGAGGAGGUGCAUGGCCGUCGCCGGUGCGUGCCGUGAGGUGUCCUGUUAAUUCAGGCAACGGACGAGACCCGCGCCCCCAGUUGCCAGCGGGCCCGAAAGGGCGCCGGGCACUCUGGGGGGACUGCCGCCGAAAGGCGGAGGAAGGAGCGGGCUACGGCAGGUCAGUAUGCCCCGAAUCCCCCGGGCCGCACGCGACGUUCAAUGGCGGGGACAGAGGGUUGCGACCCCGAAAGGGGGAGCUAAUCCCUAAACCCCGCCGUAGUUGGGAUCGAGGGUUGCAACUCGCCCUCGUGAACGAGGAAUCCCUAGUAACCGCGCGUUAAAAUCGCGCGGUGAAUACGUCCCCGCUCCUUGCACACACUGCCCGUCGCUCCACCCGAGCUGGGCUUGGGUGAGGCCCAGUCAUAUUGGCUGGGUCGAGCCUGGGCCCGGCAAGGGGGGAGAAGUCGUAACAAGGUGGCCGCACGGGAACGUGCGGCCG
rnacentral:rRNA from 1 species